GAUGAACGCUAGCGGGAGGCUUAACACAUGCAAGCCGAGGGGUAUAGUUCUUUCGGGAACUAGAGACCGGCGCACGGGUGCGUAACGCGUAUGCAACUUGCCCUACUGAAAAGGAUAGCCCUUCGAAAGGAGGAUUAAUACUUUAUAACAGAUUUAAUGGCAUCAUUAGAUUUUGAAAGAUUUAUCGCAGUAGGAUAGGCAUGCGUAAGAUUAGUUAGUUGGUGAGGUAACGGCUCACCAAGACGAUGAUCUUUAGGGGGCCUGAGAGGGUGAACCCCCACACUGGUACUGAGACACGGACCAGACUCCUACGGGAGGCAGCAGUGAGGAAUAGUGGACAAUGGGUGGAAGCCUGAUCCAGCCAUCCCGCGUGUAGGAUGACGGCCUUAUGGGUGGUAAACUACUUUUAUCUGGGGAUAAACCUACUUACGUGUAAGUAGCUGAAGGUACCAGAAGAAUAAGCACCGGCUAACUCCGUG
rnacentral:rRNA from 1 species